CCCUUCCCUACAAGGAAAAUCAAGAUUGCCUAAGAAAUUGACCUGCCUCUAUUAAGACUAAGAUCCAGACUGCUUACAACUUGAAGUGACCUUUUACAAUUACUAAGGCUGUUAUUCUUGAGUAUUUGCCAAAUCCUUAAGACAAAACUAGCAUCAUUAAUUUUCCCCAAAGUUCUGCCUUGGAGUAAAACAUACCUCUCACUUUAUAAAUGAAAGCACCUAUGCAGACAUAUCUUCCAAUGGCAUCACUGACAGUUUAUCUUGUAUAGAAAUUUUAAGAAAUCAUUCUCAAUUUCAGAAAAAAAAAAAAAAUCGUGUUAAAGGAACACUGAUGAAAUGUUUUGCCUUCAGGUCUGACAUUUCACUGUAAACACACUAGAAUAUACAAAGUUUGGUGAAACAAAUAUAAAAAAAAAUAACAUGUUAUUUUGUACCUCCUGAAGCUAUCAGAAUUAAGGAUGAUUUAAAUAUGUGUUUACACCAGACUAAUCAUUACUUUGCUGUACUUAGUAUGUUUCAGCUUGUUUGUUCCCAUCAAAAUAUAAAGAAGACUUUGUGAUCUGAACAAACAACAACAACAACAAACUUAAACUGCUAGAACAUGUAUGCACAAAGAUACAGAGAUAACAGUUCCACACCUUCCACAAAGGUCUCAUCAGAUCUACUUCAGUAAUCUACUGAAGUUUCUACACAUAUUUAGAUAUUUCUUAUAAUGUGUCUUGUACCUCAGCUCUGUUCCACCUAGUGGCAUCAAUACCAAAAGCCAAUACUGUUUUGUUUGUUUCAUUUACCAAAGCCAGGGCAUUAAUAUCAAUCACAAUAUAACCUUAUACCACAUAUUCUGCUACUGAGCUAUACUUUACAAUCAGGACUUGUUUGGUGGCAUUAUGUUUUUUAAGAUGUAGUGUGCACAACUUAUUCCUGUCCACUUCUUGACUACUACACAAAGCUUGAAAACCACAUCACCAGGUAACAAGAAAUUCUGCAUUCAACACAUGAAAGAAAAUACAGUAGCAUUGUCAUAUGGCAACAACAACAACAACAACAAAAAAAAAACAACAACUAAAAAUCUAACCAUGAAGAUUCUCUAUCAUGAUACAUCUUCCAUUUUUAAGGGGCUUUGCUAAAUACACUGAAUUCACAUACUUGUUAGUGGUCACUGAAUAAAAUCUCUCUGUCCCCUUAUCAAUCCUUCCAGCUUAGAUGCAUUUUUCUUAUGAACUCUGGAAAAUUUUCCUGUGAAUUUUAAAGUGCUGCUGUUCUUUUCCUAGGUGAAAGAAAUGUGACUGUUUGCCCCAAACCAGAAAAGCUAAAAAUAGAUAUAAGUUUGCAAAUAACUGCCACUGAAGUAAAUUGUAAUAUUCCUACCGGAGUAGUGUAGGACUUGUUCCCAUGAGAUGUCAUGUAGUCUGAUUUCAAUAUAGCAAAACACUUAAUUUUUUAAUAGUGUUAUUAAUUUCAGCGGGAUUACUCACACACCUGAAUUUAUGUAUGCCCUUAAAUUCUUUACUAAACUGGGUUAUAUAAAGUGUCCUAAACAGAAAAGCUCAGUCAUACUUUUCAUUUUCUAAUAUAUAUGCUGGGAACUGUUGUCUUUCACUACUAUUUCUCAAGUGCUAUUUAAAAAUUAGCUUUUGCAAGGCUCCAUCAUGGAUCAAAACAAUCUUUUCCAUGUACACACUACUCACGCCUCCUUCUGUAUUUACUGACCAUUUGUGCAAUUUGAAGUCCUUUGGACUUCAUUUGUUGUUAUAGUGAUCUAUUUCAUUUUUUUAGAAAAUCCAUCCUUACUAGAAAUGUCUGUAUGAUCUCUCCUGUUUUCCUGUACAUUUUCUAGUAAAAAUUUCUUGCUGGAGCUGAGCUCCUGAUGUUUUUAACGCAUUUUUGGAGAAAAUGACAUGAAUAAUAAUGUCAGCAUUGCUUUUAUGUCUAAAAGUGACCUUAGAUUUUGAAAAGGUGUUAACUGAAUAGACUGUUUUUCUGAAUAGUCUGUUACUAUGAAGAGGGCAACGAUGUUCUCCUUUUAAAAGGGCUAGCCAGCUUGUCACUUAAUUUUUCUUCAGUAAUGACUUUCUUCGAGAUCAGACACAAGAACACGCUUGUAUUUCAAGAAAGUACAUCCCAUAUUAUCUUUAACCUACAUGGUAGAGCUAACUACAGGAGUGAACACACAGGGGCUUUCAUUUGGGCUUCAAGGAAAUACACAGGUUGCUAGUUUUUACUUAAUACAUGCUGUCACACCAUCAUGACUAUUGCUAAUGGUUACACAUGGUAGAAUCACUCCCUUAUCUUAUUACAUAGACAUUAGCUGUAUACAGCUAGACUAUCUGGUGGGAUCCCAUUUGUGCGAGAGACAUCUAGAUAUUGUCUUGAUAAAAACAGUAACUAAUAGUAGUAAUAACAGUAUAAGUGAUCUCAAUAAAUAACAAGGGAAAAAAAACUGUUUGAUGGUAGCCUACAGAAUUCCUUUCAUAUUUUCUCCCUUCCUACAUGGCUCCUCCUUACAAAAUAUACUUACUAUUUGCCUUAGAUGCAGUUAAAAUACUCAGGCUUUAAGCUGUCAAAGCUGUUAACAGCUUCUCAUCAGACUGGGAGCUUUUAAGAUGGAAGAUUAACUAGAUAUGUUUCUUGUUUGAAAGACAUGACUGCUCUUAGAAGCAGAGCCAGGCUGGACAUGAGACUUAAAUGUGACCUUAUACAAGCCUCACUAUUUAUGAUGGCAGGUAAGCAAGGCCAAAAAAGUACUCAUUGGAAAGAUUUUAUCAGCUUUAAUACUGCUUUCAGCAUGGGCUCUUUGGGGCUUAUUGUGAGUAUUCACAGUAUUUUCUAGAUGUUUUCAUUGGGUCUUAAGUCCUUUAUGGCCCUUAAGUCAAAACAUAUAAUAAUGGGGGAACCUAAAAGUAAUUUUUUCUAAAAUUAUAAAAGUUUUUUGUUUGUUUGUUUUUAGUAAUAUAGCUUCUAGAGAAAGUUUCUAUCAUAUCUAUGUACAACCACCUAUGAAGCUUUCAUUUAGAAAUAUUGCCAAAUAAUGACAAAUGAUUUGUGUAUUUCAGCCAUCUCAGGUUGCUGCUAUCAUUUUGAGUAUUUCCUAGUUGACAUUCUUUGAUUUUUUUUGUUUUGUUUAUUUAUUUAUUUGCAGUCAUUUUGAUGAACACUUUGGCUGCCACAAAACCAUUGUACACUAAUAAACACUUAGAAGUUACUUUGUUAUGCCCAGAGUAACAUAAUAGGGUUUUGUUUACAAUCUCUUUAUUUACAGUCACUGUAAAUAAGAGCUGAGCAACAUAUAUAGCAGCAUGGAGCGAUUUAAGUCACACAUUACGACUAUGAGGUCCUUACACAGCUUGAGAACCUGAGUACGCACAUAACAAUUUCUGUCUGUCUAUCUCUGUUCUAUGUGACACUGUUCCAAUUUAUUAUUUUUUUUUAAAGAUGAAAUAUUCAUCAAAUUCAGCAAAUGUGAGUUUGUCUGGCUCAGAUUUUACAUAGCUUGUACUACUUUGGCAUUGCACACCCAGGUUGUACUUUAUUUGGAAGCAUAUUCAUGGUGUUCCUCUCUGUAUUGCAGAGGACUCAGAAGUAUAUAUAUAUAUGUAUAGCUGUUUUUCUUACAGAACUCUUAGUUAUCAUAAGAACAGGGUACAUAUUUUCUAGAAAAUCAAGAAAACAAUUUACUUAAAUUAUCACUACAAAAAUGCAAAGUUUGAGCAUAUAUUUGCUUGUGUAUUUAUGUAUGCAUGCAUGCAGUUUUGCACUGGUCUGGUUUUUGGUUCAACUUAUCCACAGUUCCAGUGGAAAGAGAUGGGAGGUUAACGAUCAGUGUCUCUCAAAAUGAAGAAUUCUUAUUUCAAAUAUCACUUACACAUUUCAGUAAGUUAGAUGUUUUUGCCUAAGAACUCCUACACUCCAGCUAUAAUUUCAGGAGAAGACUGCACACUCUAAGAAGUCAUCCAUGGCAUGAAGUAAAACAGAAGUGGUAUCCUAACCAACAAUGCAAGAGUAGUAUAAAUAUAUGUAUGUCAAGACUGUCAACUGUGUAAAUCCUCAUGGUUCCACUCAUUUGAACUGAACUGUGCCAAUUUUGCAACACAAGAGGAUUUCCAACUCUUAUUAAAAAAGGAGACUCAAAAAUUCUUAAAGCCUCUGCUUUGAAUGAAGAAAAUCUGGACCCAUAUGUCACUAAUUGGUAACAGGUUAGCAGAGAGAUUUAAAUGGAGAUGCCUGAAGUUACAAUUCAUCAUGUGGGAUCUGACAACAGCCUGUUUCACUAGGCUCUUUCAUUUAGCUUGCAUGACAAUAAGCUUUAACUAGUCCAUGAAAAGUGUAACUUUAAGUAGGAAAAUUACUUUAAUACAGAUCUUUCUAAAUGUUAUCAAUAUUUGCAAUAUACUAUAUACCACAUUAACAUCUUUUUUCUAUUCAUAGGUUUUGUAUAUGCACAGACUGAGAAAGAAAGCUGUUAAUCAAAGUAUUUUGUUUCUCAUAUCAAGCAACCAGUUUCUUAGCUUUUGAUGUUUAAAAAAUAAAUUUAAAUUGAAAGAGUUAAAUGUCUUUCUGUAGAUCAUUAAAUAAAGAACAUUUAAAAAUGUAUUUUCUGUAAUAAACAAGAUAUCUGGGGAGGUACGGAAGAGUAGGAGCUGUGGUUAGUUAUGGUGCAGACCUUUUUGCUGUUGAAAUCAGCAGGAAGUUUACUGUUAAUUUCAAUGACUAAAGGGCCAAGGUAAAUACGUUACUGAUCCACUAACUGAAUCAACACAAAUAUUUACUGCCCACAGAGUUAGAAUAGACCAUACUCAAUUUGAAAUCUAGUCUUUAAAAAAAAUUAAAGCACCUAAUUACAAAUAAUCAAGAGAGUUUUGUACAUUUACAUGCAAGCUUGCUCCAAAGUCCACUGAAGUCAACCAACAACUCUUUCAAUGAAGUUGUUGUCAGGCUUACUGUCUGAUAAUUAGCUAAUUAUGUAAGAUACUUGUGCACAAUUAAAAACAUUGAUUUAGUAUUUAUAUUUUUUUUUCCCUACAGUACAAUAUAACAGUAUAAUUGAACAGAUAAAGUCUGGCAUACUCUAAAUGGAGUGAGCCUUAUUAUCUAUCCACCAUUCCCAUGUCUCAUGUUAUUAGCACCGGUGAUCAUUGCAAGACAGAAUAACAGUGGUUUUAUUCUUUCAUUUUCUUUGCUUUGUCUCAAAUGACUACAUAUGUAUUCAGGCAAGAGUUAGGCCCAUUGAAGGCCAUUGACUUUGUGGGAAACAGGAACCAAUCCAACUUAGAUAAAAUAUUUUACAUUGUGGAGAUUACUUUGGCCAUACUCUGUCCAUCAAAGAAAAUGAAAACUAGCAGGCAAUUGGCCUCUACUCAUACAAUAAUCAACCAUGUGUUUGUUAUUCUUGGAUGUCAUUUAUUGAUGUGUAAAAUGUACUCUUAAUUCCAUGGUCUUAUGAAUAUUAAGAUCUGUAUUUCCAUACUGCAAUUGAAAUGCAUUUGUUCUGUAAAUAAAGGUUUUUAAUAGUGA